GCGGCUGCUGUUACCACAACUGUUGCAUGCAACAUGGAUGGCGAAAAUCGGAUUAUAUUAAAUGUGGGCGGCAUUAGAUAUGAAACCUAUAAGGCAACGCUCAAGAAAAUACCCGCAACGCGCCUCUCACGUCUGACCGAAGCCUUGGCCAAUUAUGAUCCGGUGCUCAACGAGUAUUUCUUCGAUCGCCAUCCCGGAGUCUUUACGCAAAUACUCAAUUAUUACAGAACUGGUAAGCUGCAUUAUCCGACAGACGUCUGUGGCCCACUGUUUGAGGAGGAGCUAGAGUUUUGGGGACUCGAUUCGAAUCAGGUAGAACCAUGCUGCUGGUCAACUUAUAGCAUACAUCGCGAUACGCAAAACACCUUAGCUAUAUUAGAUAAACUAGAUAUUGAAAAUGAGAAACCCACGGAGGAGCAAAUAGCACGUCUGUUUGGCUUCGAGGAGGCUUUAAGCAACGGCGAGCUUAACUGUUGGCAACGUCUAAAGCCCAAAAUUUGGGCCAUGUUCGAUGAGCCGUCGAGCUCAACGGGCGCCAAGUUUGUUGCUGGCAUGUCGGUAUUCUUUAUAUUUGUUUCUGUGAUAUCAUUCUGCCUGAAAACCCAUCCCGGUUUUCGCGUGGACCUGCCCACCAGCUACAGCGCCGGCCUGCCUGCGUCUGGCCAUGAUCCGCUGGCGCCGCCCAUACCUCAGCAGCCGGUGCAACAGUCCCAGUCGCAGCCGCAUCAUCAUUCGCAGCAGCAGCAGCAGUAUCAAUACCAUCAACAUAGCAUAACGCCACCUAGUGGCAGCAUUGGUCCCACAUUUCGUGUCACGAACUACACGAGCUACAGCAGCGGCAACUUGAGCGCUGCACAGGCCACGCCCAUUGCCACCAUAAAGGGCCAACAGCAACGGCAGCGUCUGAAACGUGACCUAAACACGAGCAGCCUGAACGAGUUCCUUGAGGAUAAGCUACUCGGUCAGAAUGGACGCAGACAGCACGGCUGGAUCGAGACCUACGGCCAGCCGCACAAGGCCUUCUUCUAUGUGGAGCUCGUAUGCAAUGUUUGGUUCUUCAUCGAGGUUGUCAUCAGGCUAAUUGUUUCACCCAAUCUGUGGCAGUUCAUUAAGUCUCCCGUUAACAUUAUCGACUUUACGGCCACGUUGAGCUUCUAUACGGAUGUCAUGCAGCGCAUGGGCGAAUAUACGGGCCUGCUGGAGGCAUUUUCCAUAGUGCGCAUAAUGCGUCUCUUUAAGCUGACACGUCACUCGCCAGGACUACGCAUCCUUAUACACACGUUCAAGGCUUCGGCCAAGGAAUUGACUCUGCUCGUGUUCUUCCUCGUUCUCGGCAUCGUCUUCUUUGCCAGUUUGGCCUAUUAUGCGGAAAAAUUACAGGACAAUCCAGACAACCAAUUCAAGAGCAUACCAUUGGGCUUAUGGUGGGCCAUUGUUACCAUGACCACAGUGGGCUAUGGCGACGUGGCGCCCAAAACGUAUCCGGGCAUGUUUGUGGGCGCACUGUGCGCACUGGCUGGUGUCCUGACCAUAGCACUACCCGUACCUGUUAUCGUUAGCAAUUUCUCCAUGUUCUAUUCGCACACCCAGGCCCGCUCCAAGUUGCCCAAGAAACGCCGCCGAGUGCUGCCCGUGGAGCAGCCGCGUCGCAAACGGGAGCCGCCGGCACCGCAUCGAGGCCGGACCAAUGCCAUUAAACAGACAACGCCGACGGUGCCGGGCGUAGUAGGCGGCCAUACAACUAUACAGGCGCCUACGCCCAUGUUCAAGGAUGCAUUUGGCAGCGCCAAAAUUGAACGCAAAGAACAGCAUCCUUUGCAGCUGACCGCUCACAACUUGGCCUCGGAUACGCAUCAACUGUACGCCGGCCAUGCCCAUGGGCCCAAAGCAGGCACCGUACUAAAUGUGCCGCCCACCAUCAGCAUGACGCACACACAAAUGCCGCCGGGCAUGGCCAGCAUGGGGCAGCGCACACCGAAUCUCAGCUACCGGGCAACACAUACGCACACGCAUGCGCCCAUCCAGCAGCCCAUACCACAACACUAUCAGCACCUGGGCUCAUCAAGGUCAAGCGGUCUGGAGUCGACCAACUGCAAUAUCCAAAUCUCAGUAGCUGGUGCCGCUGGUGCUGCUUGUACAGAGGAACUGAAGGCGCCCAAAGUUACGCUUCUUGAUGAUCUGAGCGAUGAGGUUAACUCCUCAACGGAUGACUGCGCUGAUUGCUGCCUGGUGGAUGACAGUGAUACGUACGAGGCCAGCAAUAACAAUGGCUCCUGUGCGAAUCAGGAAGUCGAGCAGGAAAGCGCCACUGCCGAGGAUAGCGGUGACAGUUUGGGUGGCAUUUACAUUGGUCCCACCCAUUGAUUUUUGGCCAUUAAAUGGGAAUUUCCAUGCUAGGAAUUUAAUGACACAUAAAGGAAUACAAAAUAGAUUGCAUAUUGCAUUAAAAAGAAAAAACAUUUUUAUUUUGGAUUUUUGUUGACUAUGGGCAGAGCUGCACUAUAUUUGGGUAAACAACAGUUUCGAAGGGUCUAACUACAAAAUGCUUUUUCUCAGUGUAAUUUAUCAGACUACCACAUGCCUGAUUCUCUGGACCAGUCUGCGCAUUCUCACCACACAAUGCCGUGAGUGCCAAGUCAAAUGAAUUUCAUUGGAGAAUCUGAGCACAGAAAGCUCUGCACUGCUUAUAGAACAUAUAGUGCCGGGCCAGGCGAAGCAUCUGCAGCAUUCGAAUUGGAACCUACAUCAACAGCAAAGCGCUUGAAAUUCAAUUCGAAGGCCUUAAACAAUUUGAAGUUAUUAAAAGCAACGCGAAAAGUUUAAUUGGAACUGUUUGUGGCACUGGGGAGCAUAGAGCCACCAAAUAGAUGUGGCAUAGAGAGUGCCCACUACUUGCUGUUGCUAGCAGAUCCGUAGAUGUUUCACUGCGGACUGGCGCUAAGUGUGCGCAAUUGAAGGCAAUUGAGCAAUUUUGUAUGCUCAGAGCGUCAGAAGACGCAUUUGCAUAAAUACAUUUAUUUAAUAUUUAAAUUAGUUUCGUGGCAUUUCAGCCAUGCACUUAUGUAUACAACACCCCCCCACACUCGCCCCCAUGUGCCUGGUCUGCAGCAAUUCAUCCUGCGCCCGCACAUUUUUACUGAUAAUCCCCAUUGACGCCUAAGUAAUUGUCCUUGACGUGAGGCAAAUGCAGCCAUUCAGACAGAGCCAAGUGAAGUAGUAGCUACCGACUGCCAGUUUGGGUUGGCUUAAAGACAAUGAGGCCGGCAUCUGGAUUGGUCCUAAGUAAACCUAAUAUGAACAUCAAAUGCAAAUUGACAAGUUUGUUGGUUCAUUGUCGCGGCGGCUCCUGGCACAGGCAACGAGGCAUCCAUUUUAUUCGGCGCUCUCCUGGGUUGAAGGAUUCUAGGACUCCAAACGAUUUUAAGGACAUUUACGAAUCUAACGAGUCUAUUCCUUCCAGGAUCGGACGUAUUUUAAGCUAGAUAUAGCCAUUUU
rnacentral:misc_RNA from 1 species